UAAUACGUAGGGGGCAAGCGUUGUCCGGAUUUAUUGGGCGUAAAGAGCGUGUAGGCGGCCAGACAGGUCCGUUGUGAAAACUCGAGGCUUAACCUCGAGACGUCGAUGGAAACCGUCUGGCUAGAGUCCGGAAGAGGAGACUGGAAUUCCUGGUGUAGCGGUGAAAUGCGCAGAUAUCAGGAAGAACACCCAUGGCGAAGGCAGGUCUCUGGGACGGUACUGACGCUGAGACGCGAAAGCGUGGGGAGCGAACAGGAUUAGAUACCCUGGUAGUCCACGCCGUAAACGAUGGAUGCUAGGUGUGGGCGGUGUCGACUCCGUCCGUGCCGAAGCUAACGCAUUAAGCAUCCCGCCUGGGGAGUACGGCCGCAAGGCUAAAACUCAAAGGAAUUGACGG
rnacentral:rRNA from 1 species